UCGGCACGUUUGGUAGCAUCUCUGGCUGCUGUUGACCUUGUUUUUGGAGUAAAACACGGUGGAAGCUGAAUUAGUGAGGAUGACUCCUGCUCCUGUCAUCUCAAAACUCCUCCCACAUCUUUACCUGCACAUGAGGAAAAUCACUCCUGUAGAAUGCAGAUGUUCAGAGGGAGAUGAUGCCACAUCUGGUCCAGCUGAUGGAAGGUCUUGAAGUUCUCUGACUGGCCUCGACUGAAGAUGGUCGUCUCACUGGAUUUAAGAGAUGCACAAUGAGGGACGUCUGCAGAGACUGAGAAAGAGUCUCACCACAUCCUGACAUGAGGAAAAAGACUUUAUUGAAGACUGCAAUGAGAAAAACUAUCAGACAGCAGACGGCUGCAUUCAAGGUGAGCUCUGAACAUUUGAUCUGGAACAGGAAUUCAAUAACGGCAGCAUGAGCUUCAUUUCAGUCUGUAGCUGCUGAAUUCAUGGAUGAAUCAUCUGGCACUAGAGAAGAACACCAUCAAACAUCCACGUCAGCUGAUGGAGGUCCAAGAGUCUCACCCAACAAACAACCUACAGAGUGAAGACCUCAGCUCUGAUUGGACGGCCUCCUAUUCAGCCACAUUUUAGGCUGUUAGAUUGUUCCAGAUAAGACGAGUACAAGAUUCUUCAGAGCCGUUCUACCACGAGCCUGACAGGAAGAACUCCAACAGCUACUGAAUGUUCCUGUGGUCCCCUCAAGGCUACAGGAGGAGCCCUACAAGGACGAGCCGGUCCACCUGAUGGCGGCCAGUCGCUGCGGUUCAAAGCCAACACCGACUACGUGGACUUCUACUGGACCACACGGAGGCCUUCAAACCGGACCAACAAGUUCAGCGACUCCCCGACUCGUGGGUCUGAGGACGCUGCCGAGCCUCGGUCCAACCGGCCUCCUGUCUGUGGGUGUUU
ensembl:lncRNA